rnacentral:rRNA from 1 species
CGAGCGCACCCUUAUCCUUUGUUGCCAGCGGUUCGGCCGGGAACUCGAAGGAGACUGCCGGUGAUAAACCGGAGGAAGGUGGGGAUGACGUCAAGUCAUCAUGGCCCUUACGACCAGGGCUACGCACGUGCUACAAUGGCGCAUACAAAGAGAAGCGACCUCGCGAGAGCAAGCGGACCUCAUAAAGAGCGUCGUAGUCCGGAUCGGAGUCUGCAACCCGACUCCGUGAAGUCGGAAUCGCUAGUAAUCGUGGAUCAGAAUGCCACGGUGAAUACGUUCCCGGGCCUU